rnacentral:rRNA from 1 species
CUACGUAGGGGGCGAGCGUUGUCCGGAAUGAUUGGGCGUAAAGGGCGCGUAGGCGGCCUGUUAAGUCUGGAGUGAAAGUCCUGUUUUCAAGAUGGGAAUUGCUUUGGAUACUGAUGGGCUUGAGUGCAGGAGAGGUUAUCGGAAUUCCCGGUGUAGCGGUGAAAUGCGUAGAGAUCGGGAGGAACACCAGUGGCGAAGGCGGGUAACUGGACUGCAACUGACGCUGAGGCGCGAAAGUGUGGGGAGCAAACAGGAUUAGAUACCCUGGUAGUCCACACUGUAAACGAUGAAUGCUAGGUGUAAGAGGUAUCGACCCCUUUUGUGCCGGAGUCAACACAAUAAGCAUUCCGCCUGGGGAGUACGGCCGCAAGGUUGAAACUCAAAUGAAUUGACGGGG